UUGAACGCUGGCGGCAGGCCUAACACAUGCAAGUCGAACGGUAACAGGAAGAAGCUUGCUUCUUUGCUGACGCGUGGCGGACGGGUGAGUAAUGUCUGGGAAACUGCCUGAUGGAGGGGGAUAACUACUGGAAACGGUAGCUAAUACCGCAUAACGUCGCAAGACCAAAAAGGGGGACCUUCGGGCCUCUUGCCAUCGGAUGUGCCCAGAUGGGAUUAGCUAGUAGGUGGGGUAACGGCUCACCUAGGCGACGAUCCCUAGCUGGUCUGAGAGGAUGACCAGCCACACUGGAACUGAGACACGGUCCAGACUCCUACGGGAGGCAGCAGUGGGGAAUAUUGCACAAUGGGCGCAAGCCUGAUGCAGCCAUGCCGCGUGUAUGAAGAAGGCCUUCGGGUUGUAAAGUACUUUCAGCGGGGAGGAAGGGAGUAAAGUUAAUACCUUUGCUCAUUGACGUUACCCGCAGAAGAAGCACCGGCUAACUCCGUG
rnacentral:rRNA from 1 species